rnacentral:rRNA from 1 species
AUGGACAUGGUGCACAUCGACCUCCUGCUGGAGAUACUCCGCCGCCUGCCCCCUCGCAGCCUCGCCGUCUCCCGCUGCGCCUGCACGGCCUGGCGCGCCGCCAUCGACCACCACCGUCUCCUGCGCGCCGACCUUCUCCCGCUCUCCGUUGACGCCGCCGUCUACGACGAGCGCAGCAGCGAAGAGCCAGCGAGGCUCUUCGGGCGCCCCUCCACCGCACGCCACAUCACCAGCAACCUUGAGUACCUCGCGGACAACCGGUUAGACGUCCGCGGCGUACAGGAUCACUGCAACGGCCUCUUCUUGACCCACGGCUGGAUGGAUGAAUUCAGGGUCAAGGUUGUCAACAUCGCCACGCGGCAGUGGGCGCCGCUGCCCCUACUGCCGUGCGCGUGCUCAUGGCCACCGGCCAUGUGCGGGCGCUGCCGCAACAACCGCUACCUCGUCUAUGAUCCCACCAUCUCACCACACUACAAGGUGUUGUACAUCCCUCGUAUUCUCGCCGACACCACCUGCGCCGAGUGGCCGCCUACGCCGUAUGUCAUGUAUGUCUUCUCGUCAAGGACAGACUGUUGGAAGGAGACGUCAUUUGUUCGAGAAGGUGCUGCCGCUGGAACCGCUGACGAUGUAAACUCCUGUAGCUAUGAUCCUGAUGAGCACAUGCACUACGCCGCUUAUUGGCAAGGGUCACUCUACGUUCCUUCCCCGCGCAUAAAGGAUGAUUUUCUUUUGAGAAUAAACUUGUCGAGUGACAAGUACCAGCUAAUUAAAUUGCCAAAAGGACGAGUACGAUCACACUUUCGUCUAGGCAAAUCGAAGAAAGGGGUCUAUUGUGUAGUGAAUACCAAUGUGCGAUGCACGUUUCGAGUUUGGUUUCUUCAUGAAUCGUGUGGUCUGGCAGACUGGAUUUUGAAGAAUGAAAUCAACCUUGAGCCGGCAUUUAGUAAACAAGAUUGGCACUGUGGACCAUGGAUCCCACAGCCGCCUGAGCAUAUCCAGUUGUUGUUGAAGAGUAAUAUCAACCUUAAGCUUGCAGAUGAAUACAACGAAGCAGUAGCGAAAGAUGGUUUUGAUUGGGACUCUGACGACGAAGAUCUUGUUAGCAUUACAGACUGGCCUAAAAAGUGUGAUGCUUACAUUGAGGGCCCUUAUUGUCUUGGUUUCCAUCCCUAUAAAGAAAUUGUCUUCUUUAAUGAAAGAGGGGUGCGCCCUUGUUCAAUGGUAGCCUACCAUUUAAACAGCUCAAGGAUACGGUACCUGGGUAAUAUGAGGUCCCGCUGCCGCUAUUCAAUGGAAGAGGUUUCUUUUGCCUACACACCAUGUUGGAUGAUGGACUUACCUGGAAGCAACUGA